rnacentral:rRNA from 1 species
GACGUAGGAGACUAGCGUUAUUCGGAUUUACUGGGCGUAAAGCGCGUGCAGGCGGUUCGGUAAGUUGGGUGUGAAAGCUCCUGGCUUAACUGGGAGAGGUCGUUCAAAACUACCGGACUUGAGAGUGGUAGAGGGAGAUGGAAUUCCGGGUGUAGUGGUAAAAUGCGUAGAUAUCCGGAAGAACACCAGUGGCGAAAGCGGUCUCCUGGACCAUUUCUGACGCUCAGACGCGAAAGCUAGGGUAGCGAACGGC